UGGUGAGUAACUUCCACGAUUAAUAAUUGGAGAUUCCCAGACCACUAGAAAGGAAGACUACAGAGAAGAUGAUUUUCAGUAUUGGAUUCUGAAUUCUUGAUUUAAGUGGUCAAAAUGACAGAAAGGAAAGAAUACGCAGACUGGUUCUCUUAUUUAUGAAAAACUGAGAUGAGCCAAGUUAAUUCAAUGUCAGCAGAAGAUACCCUGAUUUUUCUAGUAAUCAAACUCGUGAAGUAGUUUUCAUUGGGAGCAACAUGGGAGGCCAAAAGAGCCAACAUUAGUAGGAAGGAAU